CCUCCCUCCCUCUUCCUCUGUGUGUGUAUAUACAAUGCUGCCUGCAUGUUUACACGGUAGAGCUUGUGCAAAGUUAUGUAUUUCAACAUCUAAGGUAUGCCAAUAAGACCUAUUGAAAAAAAUGAUUCAUCACUGAAAAGUAAUAAAGUAAAGUAAUAAAUAAAUAUCGAGUGAUGAAAUGCAUAAACAUCGGCUUAAGUAGUGAGUCCUGGAUAAAGCAACCCUAGUUAUGUGAAGUUGAAAACAGGCUUACAUAGCAACAUUUGGUGCGGUGGUUUAGCGACCCCUUCUGGCUACAACGGCCGGGAGCUGGAGGCCUUUGGGCCCCGACGCUCCAGGGUAACGUGUCGCCCUGCGGGUUAACGGUUAACCCGGCGCCUGGUCGCCAAGGCAGUGCACACACUCGAGGGUUUCAGGGGGCUUGACAACAUUAUACAAUUAAACUUUGUGUCUAUUCGUUGGCAUUUUAAUGGGGAAUAAUUAGCCUCAAUCGAGAUAUGGUGUACUUGUGCCAACUGAUUGUACACAUGCACCGCGUAGCUAUGAUGUAACUGCUCAAUUUGAUUUUUGAGAUUAUACAAAAUGAACCCUAAAUUCUAUCGCUAUCGUGUAUAUUUUACGUGUAAAUAGGGGUAUGCAAUGUAAGAAGUGUGAAUGCAAUAUUAUAAAAAGAUUUAUUUUAAAUCAUCAAGGUAUGAUAGACUUGGAGAUCUUUUUCUGUCACCUCACCGUCAAGAACAUCACACAUUUCGUGCAGCCGGUGCAAAGUGCCACUCUGCAAACCCACGAAAAGGCGAUAGUAGAAAAAGGCCUAUUUUUUAUUUUGCGCGUGCACGGAAGCGCGCUCACGUUUGGCAGCUCCACGUCGACAUUCUUCCAGCUGCAGAGAGUGAACCGCACGGGACUGGAGGAAGAAAGGUAGAAGCAGCACAAGGUCUCUCUCUGCCUCUUUUGCCUUUUGUAAUCUACUGUAAGCCCUCGUGCUGUGGAGUGCAGCUGGUCUCUCUGCGUCUACCUCUACCAGGUACGGUAUACGACUUUUUAAACGGACUUCUAAACAUUUACUUUUAGGUGGAGCACUUGUUUUGACGCACUAGAAACACACUUUUGUUUUUUGUUUUGAAAUUUCCUCUUUGUACGCUGAAGACUACUCCAUUAUCACCGCGUUUAAAGAGGCAAGUGUCCGCAAUAACUUUAAACAGUAUGGCAUAACUUUUUUUUAUUGCGUGUAUUGUGUAGGCCUACCACAUUUGACAUAUUUGGAGCCAUCAUUUGCUACAUUGUAUCUCUUAAUUAGUUUCUUUUUGGGGGCGAUUACUUCUGGCCAUCUUUCAAAAGGUUAUUUAAUCAACAGGUAGGCUAUGGCAAUGGUAGGCUGUAGGCCUGCAAAAGAACACCGAUUUAGACCAGAAGCAGUUCUAACAAUUCUAUUUGGGGUUUCAAUAGUGAGGAUUUAUUCAGGUCAGCUGUCAGACAGCGGCCUAAAUGUUUACUCUGCAACCUUGAUUAUUCGUCAAGGUUGAAGAGGUGAGUAUAAAAACGUUGGUCAACCAACGUGAAGGCCCAUACCUUUCCCUUUUCUCAUCUGUUUUACAAUUCGAUGCAAGGAGAUAAGUUGCCCGUCCGAGCAUAAUUAUCCGAGGUCUACAAAGGCCUAGUGCUCUGUCUUUUGUUAUACCAGUCUCACCAUGUACAGUUUGAAUUACAACAGCUUUGACUUUUGAGGAGGAGGAGGGCGGUGGAAAAUACACUCCUAAUGUUGAAAGCCUUCUACAAAAUGAAUACAAACAAGAUGAAACAAAAUACGGCCUUUCAAGUGUUUUAAGUGUUGUGUUUCUGCACCACCACUACAGGGUCAUGGAGUCCUCAGCCCGCUGGCUGAUGCUCUGGAACCGUCUGCUACCCAGCGCCUGUGAGGUGGCACUGUGGCUCCCCAAAUAAAGUUCUGUGAUACACUCAGACUGUAAUUGACGGUAGUCAGUGCAUUACAGAACUUUGUUUUGGGAGUAAAGUACUAACCGGGAACCGACCAACCGACCGGCUGGAGUUUGUAUGAUUGUCUCCCCCAGAUGGGACACCGUUGAUUUAACAUGCCUUUGUGUUUUUUUAAAUUGUUUUAAAUAAACGUUUGUUCUUGAUGCA